rnacentral:rRNA from 1 species
CCGCUCAGGACGAACGCUGGCGGCGUGCCUAAUACAUGCAAGUCGAGCGGACAGAAGGGAGCUUGCUCCCGGAUGUUAGCGGCGGACGGGUGAGUAACACGUGGGUAACCUGCCUGUAAGACUGGGAUAACUCCGGGAAACCGGAGCUAAUACCGGAUAGUUCCUUGAACCGCAUGGUUCAAGGAUGAAAGACGGUUUCGGCUGUCACUUACAGAUGGACCCGCGGCGCAUUAGCUAGUUGGUGGGGUAAUGGCUCACCAAGGCGACGAUGCGUAGCCGACCUGAGAGGGUGAUCGGCCACACUGGGACUGAGACACGGCCCAGACUCCUACGGGAGGCAGCAGUAGGGAAUCUUCCGCAAUGGACGAAAGUCUGACGGAGCAACGCCGCGUGAGUGAUGAAGGUUUUCGGAUCGUAAAGCUCUGUUGUUAGGGAAGAACAAGUGCGAGAGUAACUGCUCGCACCUUGACGGUACCUAACCAGAAAGCCACGGCUAACUACGUGCCAGCAGCCGCGGUAAUACGUAGGUGGCAAGCGUUGUCCGGAAUUAUUGGGCGUAAAGGGCUCGCAGGCGGUUUCUUAAGUCUGAUGUGAAAGCCCCCGGCUCAACCGGGGAGGGUCAUUGGAAACUGGGAAACUUGAGUGCAGAAGAGGAGAGUGGAAUUCCACGUGUAGCGGUGAAAUGCGUAGAGAUGUGGAGGAACACCAGUGGCGAAGGCGACUCUCUGGUCUGUAACUGACGCUGAGGAGCGAAAGCGUGGGGAGCGAACAGGAUUAGAUACCCUGGUAGUCCACGCCGUAAACGAUGAGUGCUAAGUGUUAGGGGGUUUCCGCCCCUUAGUGCUGCAGCUAACGCAUUAAGCACUCCGCCUGGGGAGUACGGUCGCAAGACUGAAACUCAAAGGAAUUGACGGGGGCCCGCACAAGCGGUGGAGCAUGUGGUUUAAUUCGAAGCAACGCGAAGAACCUUACCAGGUCUUGACAUCCUCUGACAACCCUAGAGAUAGGGCUUUCCCUUCGGGGACAGAGUGACAGGUGGUGCAUGGUUGUCGUCAGCUCGUGUCGUGAGAUGUUGGGUUAAGUCCCGCAACGAGCGCAACCCUUGAUCUUAGUUGCCAGCAUUCAGUUGGGCACUCUAAGGUGACUGCCGGUGACAAACCGGAGGAAGGUGGGGAUGACGUCAAAUCAUCAUGCCCCUUAUGACCUGGGCUACACACGUGCUACAAUGGACAGAACAAAGGGCUGCAAGACCGCAAGGUUUAGCCAAUCCCAUAAAUCUGUUCUCAGUUCGGAUCGCAGUCUGCAACUCGACUGCGUGAAGCUGGAAUCGCUAGUAAUCGCGGAUCAGCAUGCCGCGGGUGAAUACGUUCCCGGGCCUUGUACACACCGCCCGUCACACCACGAGAGUUUGCAACACCCGAAGUCGGUGAGGUAACCUUUAUGGAGCCAGCCGCCGAAGGUGGGGCAGAUGAUUGGGGUGAGCACAAAAGGGGGG